CUGGAAGACUUUCUCUAGCGACUCAGGAGGCGGAAGGAGAUUUGGCAACAACAGAAGUCAAUGUGAUGACUGAAGUAAGAGGCUUCUCUGCUGGCUUUGAAGAUGGAGGAAGGGGCCAGGAACCAAGGGAUGCAGUUCUAGAAGUUCGAAAAGGCAAAAAACCAGAUUUUCCCCUAGAGCCUCUGGAGGGAGCACAGCCCUGCUGAUAGCUUGAUUUUAGCUCCAUAAGAUUCAUUUCAGAGCUCUGGCCUCCAGAACUGUAAGAGAAUAGAUUUCUGUGGUUUUAAGCUACUAUGUUUGUGGUAGUUUGUUACAGCAUCCACAGGAAAUGAAUACAGUGCUCAAUAAAC
rnacentral:lncRNA from 10 species